AACUGACUUACUGGUCGGUGUAUUAUUAUUUGGUUUGUCGCCGUUUCAGUUGCCUAUGAGACGUCGUUGCGGUAAUGUUUGUAGGCGGAUUAUUUUAAUCGGUAGUGAAAUUAAAUUUACUUGAAUUUUCGCUCACGGUAUUGGCUCUAAAUAUUCGACGCGUGCUUUUUUAACAUGUUUUGGAUGGCGCGGAUUGUAAACGUGUAAUAAAAUAACACAAAACAAAGCGCGUGAAAUGAAAAAAAGUGCUAAUAAUUUAGACGGGAAAGUGUUUUGAAAUUUUAGGGGUUUUUACCAAAAUAUUUACACGCGAAGUGUAGUUAAAGAAAUAUAUUUAUAUGUGCACAUUUGUUUGUGUAUUUGUGCGAGUCAAAGUGAAGUGUGAAAAUAAAGUGAAGUAAGGUGAAUAGCUAGCGAAUAACUGGCAUGCAAACAACGGCUAAGCCAUACGCAAAAUGAAAUAAAACGAAAGGAAAAAAAAAUACAACGUCAAAACGUCAGCGUAGUGUUUAUUUUUCGUUUUAUUAGGACGAGUUGAAGUGUGGCCUGCACGAAUGCGAAAAUAUCAAACUAAAAUUGAAGAUUGAAUUUAAUAAUUCUACUGCUGUUGCUAGGAAAAGUUGCUGCAAAUAUCGCCACAAAUCUGCUUGACAAUUGUUCCGGUUGCAUGAGGUCAAAAAGCUGAUACUUUUCUGAGAAAAUCGGAAUCAAAAAUUCCAAAUCAUAAUUAAAUGAAUAUGAAAAAUUAAUUGAUAAUUACAUAGAAGAGAAGGGAAAUACCCUAAACAAAAUACAAAUAAUUUAAUUUCUCAGUAAAUAAAUAAAACAAAAAAAAUUAAGAGUAACUCUUCGCUGGAAUUGGUGAAAUUUUAAAGGUAAAUUAAAUAAUACUCUUUGCUAUUCAUCCAAUUUCCAAGUACUCGUAAGUGCCACACACUUCAAAGCAUCUCAAUUACGAAUAUUUAUUUAUGCGCAUUCACAGAAGACUGCGUUUCCUGCCCAUCAAAACAAAAGUAAAUCAAAUCUAAGAAUAAAUAUCCGAACAUGCACACAUAUCAUAUAAUAUUUCUCAUUACAUAUCAUUUGCAAGCAAGCAAAUCAAAAAAAAAGAAAAAGAAAUUCAACAAAUAUUUUAUGCACAACGCAAAUUUGAAUUUCUCACACAUGACUGGGCCAGUUCCACAUAAGCAUGUCCUUUUGUUAUAGCUUAUCCUUAUUAUCUGCUGCUCAAAAGAACAAAGCGAACCCAAACUCAGGCUUUAUCAACAAAUCUUAUUGCAUAAAAAAAAUAAGCGAAACCAUUCGUAAAUGACAUAAGAGGACCAGCAUUAAACAAAAGUACAGAUUCACAACCGAGAACCUAAUACGGGAAUAAGUAAGUACUGGGUAGUCGCACAAAACCAUGGGAAAUAAAGUAUUACAAAAGCCAGCGAGACAGUGAAGAAAAAAAUGUGAACUCUUAGCCGCCUGUUUUGGUUGACCACAACUCGCAUUAGUUGUUCAAGCAAAGCAGGAUUCAGCCAACUCAUCUGUGUGUAUACCUUUUGGGUUCAUGCAAUAUCACCACUGACUUAAGUACGAAUUCCAGCUUGUCUCUUUAACAUCCUCUUGAAUGGGCACACAUCCACACUUACAUACAUAUGACAUUGUAUGUGUUACAGGUCCUUUUCGGUUAGUUGGUUAGGAUUUGAAUAGCGUACGAGUAUUCACGUAAUAUGUUUAUGGCUCCAUACUUCAGGUACACUUCAUUUUGUGUGUAUGUGGGUGAGCGUGGGCGCGCGUGAUUGUAUGUAGUGAGAUAUGAAUAUUGCGCGCUUACUUAUUCUAC